GUUAGAAAGCUCGUAGUUGGAUUUCUGCGGGGACGGAGCGGCCGGUCGCAACUUGCGACUCGAGCUAGCGCUUUCCCCGCAUCCUGCCGCGAACCGUGCUACCAUUAGUUUGGUGGCGCUGGGGAUCGGCUCGAUUACUUUGAGAAAAAUAGAGUGCUCAAAGCAGGCCACACGCCUUGAAUAAGUUAGCAUGGAAUAAUGACUAAGGACUUUGGUUCUUUUCGUUGGUGUUCGGGACUGAAGUAAUGAUUGAUAGGGACAGUUGGGGCGGUCCGUAUUCCAAAGCGAGAGGUGAAAUUCUUAGACCUUCGGAAGACGAACAGCUGCGAAAGCGUUCCGCAAGGAUGUUCCCUUUGAUCAAGAACGAAAGUUGGGGGAUCGAAGACGAUCAGAUACCGUCGUAGUCUCAACUAUAAACUAUACCAGCUAGGGAUCGGCCAACGUUUAAUUUAUCGACUUGGUCGGCACCUUAUGAGAAAUCAAAGCAUCUGGGUUCCGGGGGGAGUAUGGUCGCAAGGCUGAAACUUAAAGGAAUUGACGGAAGGGCACCACCAGCCGUGGAGCCUGUGGCUUAAUUUGACUCAACACGGGAAAACUUACCAGGUCCGGACAUAGUAAGGAUUGACAGAUUGAUAGCUCUUUCUUGAUUCUGUGGGUGGUGGUGCAUGGCCGUUUUUAGUCGGUGGAUGUGAUCUGUCUGCUUAAUUGCGUUAACGGACGA
rnacentral:rRNA from 1 species